CAACCUGAACUCAGUCGUGAUUACCCGCUGAACUUAAGCAUAUCAUUUAGCGGAGGAAAAGAAACUAAAAAGGAUUCCCCUAGUAACGGCGAGUGAAACGGGAAGAGCCCAGCGCCGAAUCGAUCAGUCUUUGGCUGCUUCGAAAUGUGGCGUAUAGGUGUAGUCUUCCAGCAGUGUCGUAUGUCCGAAGGUCUUUGCGAUUGAGGCCAUAAACCA
rnacentral:ncRNA from 1 species